GACAGAGGGUGCGAACGUUGUUCGGAAUUACUGGGCGUAAAGCGCGUGUAGGCGGUUCGGCAAGUCGGAUGUGAAAGCCCAGGGCUCAACCCUGGAAGUGCACUCGAAACUGCCGAACUGGAGUCCCGGAGAGGAAGGCGGAAUUCUCGGUGUAGAGGUGAAAUUCGUAGAUAUCGAGAGGAACACCUGUGGCGAAGGCGGCCUUCUGGACGGUGACUGACGCUGAGACGCGAAAGCGUGGGGAGCAAACAGG
rnacentral:rRNA from 1 species